UGUCCUGCUGCUCUUAUUUUCUUACUGUUUCCUGUUUGCUCUCUGUCUUUUGUGGCACCUUUACUCUCUGCUCCGUGUCUGCACACCUGUUCCUCGUUUAAUUAGUUGUAUUUAGUUCCACCUGAGUCCCUCCUUCACUGCUUCAUCAUUAUUCUUUUUUGACGGAUGUGGAUCGGACGGGUUUUAUUCGCAACAGACGAUCCCUCUGGACUGGACCAUUUGAAGGACUGCUUGCAGGACAUAAAAGAGUGGAUGUCAAAAUUUCCUGCAGCUCAAUGACAGAGUGAAAUUCUUCUGUUCGGGAACUCCAACCCCCCAACUCUGCACAAUAGCCAAGAUCAAGUCUGUCCUCUCCCCCAGUGACUUAGAGGGUCGUGUUCAUGCUCAUCUUCUGCAGACUGGACUAAUGGAAUGCCCUCUAUGCUGGGGUCACUGACAAGACCAUAUAUAGCAUGCAGUUGCUACAAAAUGCUGGUGACAGGCACAAAAAUGAGGGAACACAUUUCUCCCAUCCUCUCCUCCCUUCACUGGAUCCUGGUGAAGCACAGAGUGAAAUUUAAGAUCCUUACGUAUGUCUUCAAAGCGCUCCGUGGUCUUACCCCAGCUUACAUCAAACAUCUCCUGGACCAACCUAUCAGCUCCAGGCUUGGUCGCUGCCUCAGAUCUGACAACCAGAUGACCUUGAAGGUCCCACAGUCAAACCUAGUGACAAAGAGAGACUGUGCAUUUUCAAUGAUGGUACCUGGCCUAUGGAAUAAGCUCCCCCUGAAAGUCAAGUCCGCCACCACUCUGGACACUUUUAGAGCACAGCUUAAAACUCACCUCUUUGCCGCAAAUGACUUGAUUUGUGUUCAUGUGUCUUAAAUGUUUGUUCUAAA